GCUGCUUUCAAUUAUCUUAUGUUUUAAACACAAAAAAUACUAAGUCCCAUAAACAAUAAAUCACGUGUUAUACUUUAUCAAACACCAACUUUUCCUUCAGACAUAGAAACAACCAUAUAAACAAUCACAAAUUCUAGGAUGGUUUUGCUAAUCCAUAUAUAAACUUUAGGAACAUGCAAACCUAUCAUCGACCAGGCAAAGUCGCUGCCGCCCAUGUGCCAAUGCAGUGUCUUCCUUCUAUGCUGCGUUGCUGCACAGCCAGACAAUUUCUAGUGGUACACAACAUCACUCUAUCAAACCUGGCAAAGGGAAUUUGGCACAAGUUCAUCUUGAAAGCCCAUUAAAGAAUUGUAGGUAAAUUUACUUUCCUUCUUAGAACAGCUGGAGAGUUCAAGGCAAAUGUUAGGCAAACCAGGUCAACAAGAUCCAAAACAAAUGAGCAGCAGCCUGCCAGCAGGGGAUAGCCAUGCUUCUUGACGGCCUGAAAGGGUGGAUCCACGGCCAGUAGGGUAGAAAAAUGGAAGCAUCUCGGC